rnacentral:ncRNA from 1 species
AGCCGCCUUGGCCCUGAGUCAUGCGCGGCGAUUUGCGAGAAUCGACGUGAAGUGUUGACAGGGGAGAGCAUGGCAGGCUAUGGAGCUGCGAAAUAAAUUGAAUCCGAGGUGUCGAUGCUGUUAAGUGAAGCAGAAGACCACAUUGCCCUACGCGCAAAAGGCAAGCGUGCGGUAGACCUUGCGCAGUCGGAGACC